UCGUUAAAUCCAUAGAGAUCGCAAAGAAGGCAAUGACUUCUCAGCUUCAGAUCUUGUAAAACUUGAAUUGUAAAUAAAGCUAUGUCCAUAUAAAGAAACAGUAAAUUUUCUUCAUGGAUAGUGGAAAACCCUCCACUUCUGUGUGAAUUCAUCUCAGUUUAUGAAACUUUGCUCCAGAUGAUUUUCCUUAACAGAGGAAGCGCUCCCACUAAGGUAGGGUUCUUCUUACUCAAGUGCAGGGAUUGGCAAGGGUACCCCGCCACCUCAAGGAUUAAUAUGGACUCCUGAGGCCACUGAAUUAUUAAUAAAUGAAAUCUGGAAAAGGGUGGGUGAUGUAAGGCUAAAACUUACUAAUUUCCUACCAAGCAUUUGUGCAGUGUUGACUAGUAUUUAAAGACAGAUAAUCGGCAGAAUCUUUAGUGCGUCAAACAAAAUGCUUUGUGGCAUUUCAUCUGUCUACGUUCUGUGUUCAAAUACUACUGAGACCGACUUUGCCUUUCAUCUCUUCGGGGUCGAUAUAAAAAAGUACCAGUUGAACACUGAUAAUCGACUUAACCCCUUCCCUGAAAAUGCUGGCCUUGUGACAACAAUUUGAAAUCAAUAUUAAGUCGCAUUUGCCAGAUUGCAUACUUUACAUGAAAUACUCUGACGAUUAUCAACAUAAUAUCACUAAAUUUUUAUUCUUCAUAAUUAAUUUUGUUAAAUAUUUUCACGAAAUUUCAUUAUUUUUUUAUUAAAAAGUGGCAGCUUGUGGUAAGUAGCUUGUUUACCAACCACAUGGUUCCGGGUUCAAUCCCAUUGCGUGGCACCUUGGGCAAGUGUCUUCUAGUAAAGCUCCGGGCCGAUCAAAACCUUGUGAAUGAAUAUGGUAGACGGAAACUGAAAGAAGCUUAUCGUAUAUAUAUGUGUGUGUGUGUGUGUGUUUUUGUAACUGACAACCAAUGCUGGAGUGUUUACGUCCCCGUAACUUAGCAGUUCGGCAAAAGUGACCGAUAGAAUAAUUACUAGGCUUGCAAAGAAUCAGACCUGGGGUCGAUUUGUUCGACUAAAGGCGGUGCUCCUGCAUGGCUGCAGUCAAAUGCAUGAAACAAGUAAAAGAAUUAAGGAAUUUUUGUUUUUAAACCAAAACAUGUUUUAUUUAUUUUAGUUCAAAUUUUGUUUUAAAAAUUUUGACGAUGUGGGGGUCGGUUAAUAAAUUUUUAAUGGUUCCAUGAAAGAGUAGGUGAUAUAAGAAUUUUGUUGACCCCCUGCCCGAGCUUAUUGCAGAGAAAGAACUCAUCGAGUACUGUUCUUCUGAUGUUGCCGUAUUUUAUUAAGAAACGUAUCUGAUUAUCAACGUACUCGAUUGGGGCUAAUCAUGGAUUAAAUAAGGUCAGUAGGAACAAAAGGGUUUAGGGAAAGUACGUCGAAAGUUUUUUUAGAAUCUGAUGAUUUUUCUCUGGUAAAUAAUAUAAUGAUCUGAAAAGCUCCGUUCGGGUAACAUUAUACUUGCAAAUGACCCUCUUCGUUUAAAUGUGUGUAUAUUCAUAUAUAGGUAUUGAUGUGUAUAUAUUUGUAGAUGUGGGUAAAUAUAUAUAUAUAUACUCUAUACUAUUUACUAUUUAUUACUUAAUUGAACGCCACGCAUCCAUUUCCAAGUAUUACUUAAUUGAACGCCACGCAUCCAUUUCCAAGUAUAUAUAUACACACGCACACACACACAUAUGUAUAUAUAUGUAAAUAUAUGUAUGUAUGUGAGUGUGUGUGUGAGUGUGAAUAUAUAUUUGUGUGUGUCUGAAUAUAUAUGUAUUUAUAAAUGUGGAUAUUUACGUAUGAACAUAUGUAUGUGUGAAUGAAUAUUAUUUAUACACACACACAUAUCCACUCACGUAUAUAUAUGUAUAUAUAUAUAUAUGAAUGCAUGUAUACGCAUACACAUAAACACACAUGUGUGUAAACAGUACACCUACACACACAUACUCGUACACACACACGCGCGCGCGCGCAAACGUGUUUAUAUUGACCGAGUUGGAGAAUAGUGUAGCUGGUUACCUCUCACUGAACAAAUAGAGCAGACAGUGAGAAGAAAACCCUUUUGUGAUGCUUUCCGUUUAGUAAACACAACGGUAGGGCCUAACACACACACACACCUUAUAUAUAUAUAUAUAUAUAUAUAUAUAUAUAUAUAUAUAUAUAUAUAUAUAUAUAUAUAUAUAUAUAUAGGGUGUGUGUGUGUAUAUAUAGAGUGUGUGUAUGGCGGACAGACAUCGAUUAACUGUGAUAGCAGCUGUGUAGUGUAUUGUGUGUGUGUGCGCGCGCGCAGGUGAGAGAGAGAGAGGGAGAGUGAGAGGGGUGGAAUAUUUAUUAAAUAGAGCGAACACUAACGACUCGGUUUCAAUUCUUUAUUACGCCUUGCUUUCCUAACUCCAAAUGUUCGUGCUUACAGCUCAGGAUGUCUUAGACGCACCGUGUAUUGGGUGUUUGAAGCAGCUGUGACUUGUUGAGUCUGUUUUUUCACUGUAAUUAAAACGCUUUUGUAAUUAUCAUGGCUGGUUUCACUGUUGAUGCUGUUUAGGCCCGGCCCCUCCUGCCCUCCCCGAGUUAAGUCCUAAAAUCUGUUCGAACAAUCACCGUCUCUCUCUUCAUCUCUCUGUCUCUCUCUGUCUCUCUCUCUCUCUCUCUCACACACACACACACAUACAUAGACACACACACGCAUGAUCGAAUGGUUAAACGAGCCCCCCCCCACUAUCGAUCCUGGUGCGCGACACGUCGGGAAAGUGAUUUUUAGUUACAUGCAUAGAGCAGAACCAAGCCUUACGUGCGAAACGGGCCAGACGGAAGCAGUGUAGAAAGCCUGCCGUGUAGACCAGCCAUGGCCCGCCUUUUCCGAGAAAUCUGUGCCUCUGUGUGUGUGUGUGUGUGUGUGUGUGUGUAUCAGAGGGACCACUUUACUAAAAUUUAUGGUAAUUUUUCGUAAGGCGUAUGCUAUUCAGAAAGUCUCACGGGCCGCAAUUUGUCAUAACUGUACUUAGAAUUCAAAGGACCAAAUCAAGCGGUUGCUACACACACACACACACACACAUACUAGUGCGCGCGCUAUGACCCUGAUUCCAUCUGGGAUUGUGGCUUUCAGGGUAUUUGUAUGUAUGCGUGUGUGUGUGUGUGUGUGUGUGUGUGAGCAUAUAUGUGUGUAUGUAUGAUUUUUCUUCGAGUUCUAAGUUCUUAAAGAGAAUUUAAGUCGGUCGCUAACAAAAUGACAAGACUUUUAUGAGUUAAGAGAGUUCCCGGAGUUUGUAAAUAUGUUGUUGGGUUCUUGUGUUGGUUGAACUGUCGAUGCAAGUGUAUAUAUUUGUAUGCAUGCCAUUUGCGCACCGAUUCUACUAGCGAAGUAGUUAAGUUAGUUGAUCGAACAAUUGACUAGUCAUUGUCGAAAGUGACGGAGAUCCUCUUUGUUUCAUUAUAUCACUCAGUGUAUCGUUCCUUUUUGCGAGACAUUUAGGACUGAGGUGCAAUUUGAUUGAGAUAUAUCUGCUAUAUUUAGCAGAGACCACUGAAUGGUAACAUUCUUCAUUGUCUUAUCUUGCUUUUGCUGGUUUCCAUGACAACAGACAAUUCCGACCGAUGAUAUGUUGGCUACGGACGUUUUUGACUGGCUAAAAAUGCCUAACUGUAACUACUUGUAAUUUCUUUACUCUUUUACUUAUUUCAGUCAUUUGACUGCGGCCAUGCUGGAGCACCGCCUUUAGUCGAGCAAAUCGACCACAGGACUUAUUCUUUGUAAGCCUAGUACUCAUUCUAUCGGUCUCUUUUGCCGAACCGCUUAGUUACGGAGACGUAAACACACCAGCAUCGGUUGGUAAGCGAUGUUGGGGGGACAAACACAAACAUACACACACACACACACACACACACACACACACACACAUACACACUUCCGUCUACCAAAUCCACUCACAAGGCUUUGGUCGGCCCGAGGCUAUAGUAGAAGAUACUUGCCCAAGGUGCCACGCAGUGGGACUGAGCCCGGAACCAUGUGGUUCGUAAGCAAGCUACUUACCACGCAGCCACUCCUAUAUUAAUUUCUAGAAAUAAUGAAUGCGAUUUUCGUCAUGGACAUGCAAAAACUAUACCAGAACCACAUUUAAAAGUCAAAAUAAUCUGAUGAUAAUUUGAGAAACUUCAGAAUUUCAGAAGAUCCGCGACUCGUGCGGCCUUUUAAAGGAAUCCCUCUGUCGUUGCUUCGUUUUAAUGCGAUUUGUGACUUUCACCAUAAAGCUCUUUUAAUUCAUCCUUUGAACAAUUAGAAAAAGAAAAAUCAGGUUAGAUUUUUAUAUAAAGAGAAAAGACUUGUAGCUUGCAUCCUUUCAAAAGAUAUAAGCCUGAUGUCUGAAUGCGAUUUACACGUGUACAGGCCAUUAACCUCGUUUCUCUUCUCCCUCUCUCACAUACACACGCCUGCGUGCACGCACACCUCACUCUCUCCAGAUAGAAGUCCUUGGGACAUUAGCUUUGCUUUCUUUUAUUUCGUUCUGUAUUUUAGGGGGUUUUCUUUUAGAUUUUAAUACACUAAUACAGAAAGAUUAUGUGUACUAAUUGCGUGGAUAAUUUCAAUCCAGUUUGCUAUGUAUAACAUAUAUCUGAGUUGACCUUACCGCAUUUGCAUUGGGAACAUUUGGAUAUUCGUCGAAGCAUCGUCAGUUAUCACAUUCCCUUUAUAUGUUUGUAUUUAUACACACACUCAGAUAUAUACAUAUAUACAUAACAUACAAGCAUACACAUACACACAUAGACAUAUCGAUGUCCCAUAAUGUAUUGCGUUAAAUGCUUUGCGGCUGCGUUAUUUCCUCCAGGGAAGGUCCUUUUAAUGCAGUAGUGUGUUGAAAAAACACAGCAUACUUCUAUGAAAGGCGAAACAAAUCUCUCCGGACGCGAACGACAAGGACAGAUAUGUGUAUUUCGCACUUAUUUCUGGUCAUCGAUGUUAUUAAUUCGAAUUAAUCUCGAGGUCGAAUCGAUGA
rnacentral:lncRNA from 1 species